rnacentral:lncRNA from 1 species
AGGUUACUGACAUUUUGUAAUAUACUGAUUGAGCAUUGUAUGAUUGACUUGUUUGGAGACAACAAAUAUUUGAAUGCUCCAUAUUUUGCAUCUUUGUACUUUAAAAACCAGUUAAAGAGCUUAAACUGAGCAGUCAGUACCUACGAUACACCUAUUGGUAGCGUUUCAAGAGUCGCAGCAUAGACUAAUACAUUUUCAGCCGCACACCAAUUAUGUUGAGUGCUAUCUUGUUAAAUGUUU